UACGGGGGGGGCAAGCGUUGUUCGGAAUUACUGGGCGUAAAGGGCGCGUAGGCGGGCUGCCAAGUCUGGGGUGAAAUCCCACGGCUCAACCGUGGAACUGCCUCGGAUACUGGCGGCCUCGAGGGAGGUAGGGGCGUGCGGAACUGUGGGUGGAGCGGUGAAAUGCGUUGAUAUCCACAGGAACUCCGGUGGCGAAAGCGGCGCGCUGGACCUCUUCUGACGCUGAGGCGCGAAAGCUAGGGGAGCAAACGGG
rnacentral:rRNA from 1 species